rnacentral:rRNA from 1 species
GACGAACCGUGCAAACGUUGUUCGGAUUCACUGGGCUUAAAGGGCGCGUAGGCGGGUUCUCAAGUCGGUGGUGAAAUCUUUCGGCUCAACCGGAAAAUGGCCUCCGAUACUGGGAACCUCGAGGGAGGUAGGGGCAUGCGGAACUUCGGGUGGAGCGGUGAAAUGCGUAGAUAUCCGAAGGAACGCCGGUGGCGAAAGCGGCGUGCUGGACCUCUUCUGACGCUGAUGCGCGAAAGCCAGGGGAGCAAACGGG